AGACGAGAAAGAAUCGAUCGGGGAAAAAGAUUGAUCGCGCGAUGCAACGUUAUCCGCGGGAACGAUAAGUCAUGCUCGUUGGAUUCCAGCUACUUCGGGACGCUGUCGACUAUCUUCGAUUGUUAUCAGGUGCGAGAUGAUCGCUUGUGCGUUCAAUUGGUUGUGUCAUCAAGUUGAGAGAAAGUUGCCAAGAUCGCGACGUAAAAAUUCACUCUCGAUGA